CAUGUUUCUUUAGAAUACCUCACCUCUAAAUUAAGUGACGUAAUGCGUCGUUACUUUAGUCAUAUUAAAGGAUGUUUUCUGAGGUACAUGGACCUCCAAAUAUAGAUCGGGUUCAACCUACAGCGAUUAUUGCAUAGAAAACCAUGCUAUGGUUAUUGAAAUUGUUGGUGUAUAUUAGUUCCGUGUAUUGUAUGGAACCAUGUUGUACCAGUAACAAGUUUGAAACUGUUUUAGCAGAAGCUGGGGGAAUAUAUGUGUCUAAUACGACCACUGUUCCUAUAGAUGUGUGGAAUGAAAUGUAUUAUGAUUAUGAUAGAAAGAUGAUGACAUUAGAAACUCAUACUAGACUACCUGGUGGUCAGUAUAAACUAAUUACAAUUAUCAUGGACUUUAAACAGCAAUUAGAGUUCGCUAUAGACGGUGAUAAUUGUACUGUUAUUCAAGUAAAGGAAGGCAUGCAGAAACCGUGUAUACCAAACGCUGCAUCUUACCUGGGCACCAACUCGAUAGGCUACGGUGAGGAGGUAAUAAAGUUUACAUCGUGGGAAUUUAAUACACCCGAGUCUGAUGUUAGUACUAAGUUAACGGUUACAGCUAAAGAUUGUGUACCACUGACACAAUCGAUGUAUGGCACCGUUAGAGGAUAUAAAACUGCUGUAAGCUUCACGUAUGCUAACUUUAAGCCAAGAAUAACAGAUGAUUCCGUGUUUGAUGUCCCCAGUAAAUGUCAACAGGUUUAUUCACAUGUGCAUGAUACAAAACUAGCAGGACGAACUGCCUUGGAUGGCAUUAAAGCUAUAUUUACCUGACAACCCUUUAAGAGUGGUUUCCCUUGAUCUCUGAUAUACCUUUGCGUGUAUCUUGAAUUUAAUGUGUUGUAUCCAGUGUUAAAUGCAUUGAUAUCAUUAAAAUAUUUAAAUAUAA